GGGAUGGGGGACCCGCAGCCCCGAGCAGCGCCACAUCUUGCUUUCAGACCUGGCGAGAUGACAGGCCCUUCGUCUGAGCAAAGGAGGCAAUGUGGGAACAGAGGGUCCCCAGAGCAAGGGACACCCAUGAUGCCUCCUAAAGCCAGAGGAAGGAAGACUGGCUGAGGAGCCGGGCAGUGAGUUGGGUGGGCAGGGACACCACAGAGCCUGCAGAGGAAGCGGAUGGGAGGCCACCAAGGAGGAGGGCUGGCCUCCAGCCAAGACUUCCAGGGUUCUCACGGUGUCCACCUGGGAGUCUGCAGCAGCCCGGCCCUCUCAGCUCGGCACAGCGUGUCCAGUGUCACCUGGAGGGCAUCAGGGUUGGUACCUUUAUUGUAGGCUCCAGAAAGUCCCAUGGAGAGUUAAGGGGGUCAGAAGUGAGUCUGGUGACCUUGUCCCUUGACUCUACCCUUCUCUCCCCCACAUCAGCUCAGCUGCUGUCAGAUCGCUCUCGAAACCCCCAGCACCUGACUCAGUGCUGGGCCCAGAGCAGGGGACCUUCCCGACAUCUGCGGGGCCCCUGUGCUGUCCCCACACAUGAUCAGAUGAGCAGGGAUGGUGGCACUCCCUGGACUGUUCGUGUCACCCCUACAGCAACCCCAGGGGACUGGAACUGCACCCCUUUUCACAGAAAAAGAAACAGGGAGGAAAGGGCUUGCCCAGGGUCACAUGGUGACCACGGCCCUGACUCUACACCCUGUCCCUGAUCCAAGACAUUUCUGACACCUCACGUAGCCGUCUAGGCCUCCAGUGGACCCUGUGCCAUUGAAGUCCGGGGCUACAGACGGAACUUCUGUGACAAAGUAUCACAAACUGAGUGCCGUAGCCCAGCGGGCUGUUUGUCUCCAGCUCCGAAGGCCAGCAGACUGACCAGGGUACCUGGAGCUGUGUCCCCCUGACAGCCAAGUCCAGUCCUUCCUCACCCCUCCCCAGCUGCUGCUGGUGGCCGUCAGCCCGGGCCUUCAUGGGUAUCCAGCCAUAUUGGAUCCAGGCCCCCUCUGCCCCCCCCAUUAGUCUGUCCUCAUCUGAACUGGUGACAUCCGCAGCAACCGCGUGUCCAAAUCGUCACGUUCUGUGGUACUCAGUGUGAGGACUUCAACAUAUCAUAUGGUUCUGGAAGACACACCUCAAUCCAUAACAGAUGAAUCUGGGGAAAAAAAGAAAAAAAACCCAAAACUAUGCAGGUCAUAUGUCCAAGUCUGAGAUUCAGAAAAUAUGGCCUUGGGGCUGGCUCAGGGGUAGGCAUGUGCUGAGUUCAAUCCCCAGCUCAAAAAAGAAAGAAAAAGAAAGCAUGGGCCUAAUAUAUCUGUCUGCUACACAAAUAUUAAAGUACUUUGCUUUAAUGGGUACUAUAUAAAUGUUUGAGAGAUACUUGA